CCUACGGGAGGCAGCAGUAGGGAAUCUUGGACAAUGGGCGAAAGCCUGAUCCAGCCAUGCCCCGUGUGUGAAGAAGGUCUUCGGAUUGUAAAGCACUUUAAGUUAGGAGGAAGGGCAGUUAUCUAAUACGUGAUUGUCUUGACGUUACCGACAGAAUAAGCACCGGCUAACUCUGUGCCAGCAGCCGCGGUAAU
rnacentral:rRNA from 1 species